rnacentral:rRNA from 1 species
AGAGUUUGAUCAUGGCUCAGGACGAACGCUGGCGGCGUGCCUAACACAUGCAAGUCGAGCGAGGGACUUCGGUCCCUAGCGGCGGACGGGUGAGUAACACGUGGGUAACCUGCCUCAUAGAGGGGGAUAGCCUCCCGAAAGGGAGAUUAAUACCGCAUAACAUUAUGCUGUCGCAUGGCAGUAUAAUCAAAGGAGUAAUCCGCUAUGAGAUGGACCCGCGGCGCAUUAGCUAGUUGGUGAGGUAACGGCUCACCAAGGCGACGAUGCGUAGCCGACCUGAGAGGGUGAUCGGCCACAUUGGAACUGAGACACGGUCCAGACUCCUACGGGAGGCAGCAGUGGGGAAUAUUGCACAAUGGGCGAAAGCCUGAUGCAGCAACGCCGCGUGAGUGAUGAAGGCCUUCGGGUUGUAAAGCUCUGUCUUUUGGGACGAUAAUGACGGUACCAAAGGAGGAAGCCACGGCUAACUACGUGCCAGCAGCCGCGGUAAUACGUAGGUGGCAAGCGUUGUCCGGAUUUACUGGGCGUAAAGGAUGCGUAGGUGGAUAUUUAAGUGGGAUGUGAAAUACCCGGGCUCAACUUGGGUGCUGCAUUCCAAACUGGAUAUCUAGAGUGCAGGAGAGGAAAGUGGAAUUCCUAGUGUAGCAGUGAAAUGCGUAGAUAUUAGGAGGAACACCAGUGGCGAAGGCGGCUUUCUGGACUGUAACUGACACUGAGGCAUGAAAGCGUGGGGAGCAAACAGGAUUAGAUACCCUGGUAGUCCACGCCGUAAACGAUGGGUACUAGGUGUGGGAGUUGUCAUGACUUCCGUGCCGUCGUUAACACAGUAAGUACCCCGCCUGGGGAGUACGAUCGCAAGAUUAAAACUCAAAUGAAUUGACGG